ACUCCGUGGCACGAGACGACGCUGGCGGCGUGCUUAACACAUGCAAGUCGAACGCUGAAGCCCCAGCUUGCUGGGGUGGAUGAGUGGCGAACGGGUGAGUAACACGUGAGUAACCUGCCCAUCACUCUGGGAUAAGCGCUGGAAACGGCGUCUAAUACUGGAUACGAGCAGCGACCGCAUGGUCAGCUGCUGGAAAGACUGGUUCGGUGAUGGAUGGACUCGCGGCCUAUCAGCUUGUUGGUGAGGUAAUGGCUCACCAAGGCGACGACGGGUAGCCGGCCUGAGAGGGUGACCGGCCACACUGGGACUGAGACACGGCCCAGACUCCUACGGGAGGCAGCAGUGGGGAAUAUUGCACAAUGGGCGCAAGCCUGAUGCAGCAACGCCGCGUGAGGGAUGACGGCCUUCGGGUUGUAAACCUCUUUUAGUAGGGAAGAAGCUUCGGGUGACGGUACCUGCAGAAAAAGCACCGGCUAACUACGUG
rnacentral:rRNA from 1 species